CGAUAGCAUUACUGUGGUGUUCCGGAUAAUUUAACUAUAUAGGUAUAAUAAUAAAAUAAUUAUUAUAAAAUAUUUAAUUCUAACGCGAAUACGGUUUUUUUUUUUGUGUAUGUAACGACGCAAUAAUAAUAUAUUCCACGUACGUAUACGUAUAGUACUUGCGUACGAGUGGAAAAACACUUAACAACGAUAAAAAAUAAAAAUAAAAAAAACCGUGCGCAUUAACCUCAAUAUCUCCAUAAAAACUAUCCCCACUAAAAUAAUAGCAGGGAAUUUACUCGACAAGCGUAAUACGUAUAAUAUCGUAUUUUAUAUCGAUAAAGCGAAUUCGAUCGAACUCUCCUACCGUGUAAUAGUUAUUAUCUUGUUAAACCUUCUAAUAUGAUUGUGCAGUAGUGUGCGGGCACAACUAUUACACCUCUAGCAUUCCCAAAACGAUCGCCACUGGCUAUAUUGAUCGCCUCAUUAUGUGUCGCCAUAUGGAAAUUAAAAAGUACAAUGUUGGUGUCAAUUUUGUUAAAAAAAAAAAGUAAU